rnacentral:rRNA from 1 species
GAUUUUAUGGUCUGAUGCUUUACGUCUGCUUUUGUUUUAGUACUCCAAAGGAAGGAAGGGCGCCAGCAGUGUCAUCGGCCACUCCACUUCCUUGGUAUCACCGUGCUUCAAGCUCCGCAACGAGAGUCGACACCGCAGAUGCAAAGUACUCGUUGUGAGAUAUAAUAGUACUGUAUUGACCAAAGAUUCCCCCAGACGUAAAGCUACAUCUCUUCCCGUUAGCUCGCCCACGAAAUGACCAAAACUUAAUUUUAAGUACUACCCACGCUAAAGAUCGCGCACCCCUUCUAAUCACCUAAAUUAGUAACCAGGGGCACACGUAGAAGAGGUACUUUAGCGUAUUUAGUAUUAUGUAAAAAAAUAGAAAAGAUUUUUGUUUUAACGUUUAUUCUCAUAGACGAGUAUGUCAAAAAAAAAGAAAAGUAUCGACGUUAUGAUCAAAAGCCAAUAACCCCCGCUGUCCCAGAACACGUUGUGUCUUCCUCUAUUAUUAAGCACUACCUUUCGCUGUUUUCGGGGGGUAUACGUUUACGAGAUCGGUCAGUCCGUUCCACCGCGUCGCGUGGUUUGGCCGCGGUCGGUCGGUGUAUUUGUUUGGGGUGUGUGUCUGGUCUGCCCCCUUCCCUUUGACUCUCGUUCGCCUCCGGCGAAGAGGCUAACUAAAGCAAGGUAGUAGUAGUAGAGUGUGUCGGUUUUCUGGCGCUGCGCUCGGGGACGGGGAGAGGAGCGAGCGAGGGCAGGGGGAGCGCUAAACUAAGCAGAGGGGUGGAGGGCAAGGCGACGGGGUACGGCGGGCGGGCGGGGGACGCGCGGCUGAGGAGAACUAGGGCAGGGGCCCCUGGUGCUGCGGCGGCGGUACCGGCAGCUAAGGCUGUCUCCCCUCCCCCUAAACCUCUAACCCAACCGCAGCGGCCCCAGCCUCCCUCCGCAAAGCGGGCAGCGGGGUCCGGCGGCCCGCGAGCUCAGGACGGAGAGGCCCUUCGCGGAGCUGGUCAGCGGCAGCGGCAGCGCCCGCCAGUCCGCGGGGCGCGAUCAGUACAGGUCGAGGCCCUUCGCGGAGCUGGUCAGCGGGAGCGGGAGCGCGGGCCACGACCGGUACAGGGCGAGGUCGUUGGCGGACCUGGUCGGCGGGCCGGCGGGCCACGACCGGUACAGGGCGAGGUCGUUGGCGGAGCUGGUGAGCGGCCGCAGCAGGAGCAGGGGCUGCGGCCGGUUCCCCGGCCGCGAGCAGUACAGGCCGAGGUCGUUCGCCGACCUCGUCAGCGAGCGCAGGGGCAGCGGCAGCGGGUUCCGGCCGCGGCGCCGCGGCGGGCACGACCACGAGAGGUUGAGGCCGUUCGCCUACCUGGUCCGCCCCGCCUUCUUCAUGCAAUUCGUCCACUGCCCGGCUGUGUUGCUGUGCCUCGAGGUGGAGCGGCGCGUCGCGCCCCUGGAGCUGCGGCACGCGGUCUAGUAGCGGCUUUAGCUGCGAGUCUACUGGCCGUGGCCGCUCCUCAAGCUGUCGCUCCACCGCCUCUAAGCGCGGCGGCACGAGUUGCUCGGGUUGCUCCAGCCCCUCUGGCGCGACGAGUAGCGGCGACUCUUUCCCAAGUAGCUGCAGCAGCAGCUCGACGAGUUCGUGAGACUGUUCCUCUCGGAACGCUCCUUCUUGUUUAGUCCUAAGCUACGAGACGUGCAGCGACGUUUCCUUCCGGUGGCUCUAUAACACUUCCAUGAGGACCUGGUACUAGGUAGGGAACCCUUCUGCAAACCGGUUAGUUUACACUGAGGAGACUAUUGACGCCGCUAAUCUCCGGUGGAGCUCCAUCACUUGGAAGACGACCUCGCUCAAAGACCCAACCAACUUGAUAGUUUCCGCUUGCCUUUCUUACGUAACGUAAAGCGACGGGCAGUCCCCGUACAACUUUAUCAAUUCAGGAACGAUCAGUCACUUCGAGUCGAACGAGCCUUCUGACUAUUCUUUCCUGUCUGGCGAAACGUGUACCGCCAAUUUCCUUGUUCGCGACGCCAACAAUCUCGUGAGCACUUACGACUAGGCCGGUAUCAAUACGAUGGACUGUUUUUACCGUUGAAUCGAAACGUACAACGGUGGUCCUUCUUUUCUAGUCUCUAACACUUACUCGAAGACGAAGAAGGCCUGUACUUGCACUUACGCGACUGAUCCCUAGCGUUCUGACGUAAACUGUAUCGUCUCCCAGAAGGCGAUAGUCUUCUCAGACGUCUAUAUUUCCUAACAAAUAGGGCACGACCACGUCACUCUCGUUUACUAGACUUAGUCGGAGCCCUACUCGACUCUUUUUGUCACUGACUCUAGUUCUUCCUGCAUGUGUGAGUUGAACUCGUUCGGUCUUUUUGGUUGUUUUUACACGUACCGUAUCGUUUCCUUGACUCCUUCGAGGUGUCCCUUCCGUAGUUGUUACGUUGUUUGAGACAGUGUCAACACCGACACGAGAAGCGGUGUCAACGUAAACGACGCUAUAAGUGCCACGGUCCUCCGUUGCUGCUGGUACCACAGCGUUAUCAACACGUACGCCACAGGAAGUUCCAGAAGAAGUAGAAGUUGCGGUAGCGGAACAAGUGUAGUAAUCGUCAUCACCACCACGUCUAUUGUGAACAAUCCCCGCUCUGCUUUCGUCUCUCCGCUCAACACCUCCACUAGUUGUUCAACUACACCGACCGAAGACAUACGUGGUGCCACCGUAAGUAUAGGAGGAGAAUGUAUCACCACCCAGCCGUGAAGUUCACCCGCCGCUACGACCACUGGGAGUAGCCGCCCCACUAGUACCGGUCACACGAGCCAUGCUACUGUAUGAUACACCACUUCAGGUUCGCGUGCGCUAGCUAAUCCUUCUUCCACUUCAGUUGUUCCGCCUCGCCGAGUUUGAGUACCUUGGUGUUGAGCCUCAGUCUAAGGCUCUAUCUGGCCUAUAUGCGGUAUACUCCCACUAGAGACCAGAAGAUACCUAGGAGUCAGAAAAGCCGCCGCGGUGUGCUGACCUAGCAGUCAGAAAAACCGCCGCGGUGUGCUGUGCCUACAUUUUUCUUUCCCUAACCGCGAGUCUCAUUUGUCGAAGCUGGGAGGUCCACGAUACCCAAAAUGGCAUAUGUAAGGUUAUUCGACCACAGGGAUCUAGCCGUCCUCGGUCAUCCGCUGCCAGCACAACAUAUGUAGAAGAUGUCUAUAUCUAACAGUAGUAGUCUUAUACGUACGUCGGACACGACACGAGGGAUACGUACCGACCGGAAGUAUUUUAAAGAGAGUCGGAAGAAAAAAGAUGGAAAACAAUUAUAUGACACCAUCGUCUUACCAGCCAUACACAUGGAACAUAAAGUAGACUAUCGACUCUUCCAAGAUCUUCGAAGAUCACUUCGGACCGCUUACGAGGAACAAGGAGAGAAAAACCCGUGCACUCUUGACAUUCUAAAAAGGUACUAAAGAAGGUGUCCUGUCCUGUUUGGACCUCGCCAUCACUGCUGUCAUAUUGUGCUUGUUCAGCGGACGUUGUCUCUGCACCCCAUCCUUUCGAACUGGACCGCUCAGCACGCACUCUCACUUUGGCGUACGAACCCCCGGCCACCCACCUCCUCUUUGCAGUGCGUUAUAAUCCACCAAAAGGACGCUCGUCUAUUGGCACCGCGGAGUUGAGUAAACUGAACACUAGACCCCAGCGUCAGCAGACGAGUCAAGUGAGGGACGGUGGUGUACUAAUUGAAACUAGUCGAGCCGUUCAACUUCCCAGUGAAUUCAACGACGUAACUUUCAACUUUGAGGAAGUCACCGACGGUGUGCGGCAUGCAAAGUCUUUCCAGGUCUUCUUCUUUCGGGCGUACCUGGUUUCGUCGCUGUUUUCUCUCCUCCUAAACCUCCGAUUUCUCUCCUCCGGAAACGAAAUGUGAACAACACCAGACCAGAAAGAAAAGAAAUGAAGCGCGAAUUCAAGUUCCCCCGCCUACCCUCGAGUUCCUCCUCCUCCUCCUCCGACCAUGCCACCACGCGGUGGUGGUUAGGUCGACUUCUAAAGUGAAACAAACCCCGAAAUGCGUAUAUGCCUAGAACGUUUCUAGUGUAUAUUUUCCCAUAUCCGACGCAGAACCUCUCAUAUUUUGGGAAGGCGAGGGAAAAGAAUCAAGUACCUUAUCAACCAGAGGGCCGGAGGUGUAAAGUUCUACGGGAAUGUUUUAGAUCGAGACGAUUUAAAAUG